AUACAGAGGGUGCGAGCGUUAAUCGGAAUUACAGGGCGUAAAGCGCGCGUAGGCGGCUUGGUCAGUCGGAUGUGAAAGCCCUGGGCUCAACCUGGGAAUUGCAUUCGAUACUGCUUGACUAGAGUAUGGUAGAGGGAAGUGGAAUUUCCGGUGUAGCGGUGAAAUGCGUAGAUAUCGGAAGGAACACCAGUGGCGAAGGCGACUUCCUGGGCCAAUACUGACGCUGAGGUGCGAAAGCGUGGGGAGCAAACAGGAUUAGAAACCCGAGUAGUCC
rnacentral:rRNA from 1 species